rnacentral:misc_RNA from 1 species
AAUGGCCGCAGUAUUUUGACUGUGCAAAGGUAGCAUAAUCAUUAGUUUUUUAAUUAAAAGCUUGUAUGAAAGGUUGGACGAGAUAAAAUCUGUCUCAUUAUAAUUUAUUAGAAUUUAAUUUUUAAGUAAAAAAGCUUAAAUAAAAAUAAAAGACGAGAAGACCCUAUAGAGUUUUAUAAACUAUUAAAAUUAUUUAUUAAUGAAUUUUUUAUUUUAAUUUUAUUAGUUUAUUUUGUUGGGGUAAUAGAAAGAUUUAAUUAAUUCUUUUUUAUUUAUUACAAUUAUUUUUGAAUUUUUGAUCCAUUAUUAUUGAUUAUAAGAUUAAAUUACCUUAGGGAUAACAGCGUAAUUUUUUUAGAGAGUUCUUAUCGAUAAAAAAGUUUGCGACCUCGAUGUUGGAUUAAAGAUUAAUUUAGGUGUAGAAGUUUAAAUUUUUGGUCUGUUCGACCAUUGAAUCUUUACAUGAUCUGAGUUCAAACCGGUGUAAGCCAGGUUGGUUUCUAUCUUUAUUAAAUUUUAAUAUUUUAGUACGAAAGGACCAAAUAUUAGUUAAAUUAUUAAUUUUUAAUUGAAUAUUAUUGUUACUUUGGCAGAUUAGUGUGAUGAAUUUAGAAUUCAUUUAUGUAAUUAUUUUACAGGUAAUAU